rnacentral:rRNA from 1 species
UUAGAACGUCGUGAGACAGUUCGGUCCCUAUCCGCCGCGCGCGCAGGAGACUUGAGGAAGGCUGUCCCUAGUACGAGAGGACCGGGACGGACGAACCUCUGGUGUGCCAGUUGUCCCGCCAGGGGCAUGGCUGGUUGGCUACGUUCGGAAGGGAUAACCGCUGAAGGCAUCUAAGCGGGAAGCCUGUUCCAAGAUGAGGUCUCCCACCCCCUUCGCGGGGUUAAGGCCCCCAACAGACCAUUGGGUUGAUAGGCCAGAGAUGGAAGCACAGCAAUGUGUGGAGUUGACUGGUACUAAUAGGCCGAGGGCUUCACCAC